UCCAACUUUUUAUCAUCUUUAUUUUAUUUUGAGAAUCGAUGUGGCAAAUUGAUGUGUGGCAUUUUACUUGAGUGGACAUAAACACCGUUUAAGUAUUCCUUGAAUAGUGGGGAUUAUAGGAAACCUGUUAUCACAAAAGAUCAUUAGCUAGCCCACUAGCGUCUUCAUCCAAUAGUUGUACUCUAAUACCCUCUCGUGCGAAUACAAUGCCUUUAAUAUCAUAGAAACACUAUUUUUUGUUUCAAACAUGAUCUAUUGUUUUGAAUUCUUUAUAUUCCAACUUUUUAGCAACUGUAUGGUGGAAAAAGGUGUCUUACAACCUUAACCUAUGUUUGGACAGAUCUCUUACGCAAUUUGGCUAAAUUUCCUAUUGUCUUUAUUUUAUUUUUAGAAACGAUGUGGCGUAAUGAUGUGCGAUGUUUUACUUGAGUGGACAUAAACACCAUCUAGGUAUGCCUUUAAUACAGGGAUUAUAGGAAACCUAGUAUCACAAAAGGUCAUUAGCUAGCCCAAUAACGUCUUCAUCCACUAGUUGUUCUCGAAUACCCACUCGUCUGAAUACAAUGUCCUCAAUAUCAUAGAAACGUCAUUUGAGGUUUAAAAGGUGAUCUAUUGUUUUGUAUUCUUUAUAUUACAACCUUUUCACAACUUUAUGGUGGAAAAAAGGUGACAUACAACUAUAACCUAUGUUUGGACAGAUCUCUCACGCAAUUUUUCUAAAUUUCCCAUGGUCUUUAUUUUAUUUUAUUUUGAGAAACGAUGUGGCAUAAUGAUGUGCGGUGUUUUACUUGAGUGGACAUAAACACCACCUAGGUAUGCCUUGAAUAGAGAGGAUUAUAGGAAACCUGGUAUCACAAAAGGUCAGUAGCUAGCCCAACAAUGUCUUCAUCCACUAGUUGUACUCUAAUACCCUCUCAUGUGAAUACAAUGCCCUCAAUAUCAUGGAAACAUCAUUUGUGGUUUAAAAGAUGAUCUAUUUAUUAGAAUUCUUUAUAUUCCAACUUUUUAGCAAAUGUAUGGUGGAAAAAAGGUGCCUUACAACCAUAACCAAUGUUUGGACAAUUCACUCAUGCAAUUUGGCUAAAUUUUCCAUGGUCUUUAUUUUAUAUUGAGAAACAAUGUGGCAUAUUGAAUAGAGGGGAUUAUAGGAAACCUAGAGGGGAUUAUAGGAAACCUAGAAUCACAAAAGGUCAUUAGCUAGCCCAAUGACGUCUUCAUCCACUAGUUGUACUCUAAUACCCUCUCGUGCUAAUACAAUGCCCUUGACAUCAGGAAACGUCAUUUGUAGUUUAAAAGGUUAUCUAUUGUAUUGAAUUCUUUAUAUUCCAACUUUUUGCAUGGUUUAAAAAAUAUGCCUUACAAUGUUAACCUAUGUUUGGACAGGUCUCCCAUGCAAUUUGGCUAAAAUUUUCAUGGUCUUUAUUUUAUUUUGAGAAACGAUGUUGCAAAUUGAAGUGUGGUGUUUUACUUGAGUGGACUUAAACACCAUUUGAGUAUGCCUUGAAUAGAGGGAUUAUAGGAAACAUAUUAUCACAAAAGGUCAUUAGCUAGCCCACUAAUGUCUUCAUUCAGUGUGUUGUACUCUAAUACCCUCUCAUGCGAAUACAAUGCCCUCAUUACCAUAGAAACACUAUUUCUAGUUUCAAAGUUGGUCUAUUUUUUGAAUUCUUUAUAUUCCAACUUUUUAGCAACUGUAUGAUGGAAAAAGGUGCCUUACAACCUUAACCUAUGUUUGGACAGAUCUCUUAUGUAAUUUAGCUAAAUUUCCCAUGGUCUUUAUUUUAUUUUGAGAAACAAUGUGGCAUAAUAAAGUGUAGUGUUUUACUUGAGUGGACAUAAACACCAUCUAGGUAUGCCUUGAAUAGAGGGGAUUAUAGGAAACCUGGUAUCACAAAAGGUCAUUAGCUAGCCCAAUAACGUCUUCAUCCACUAGUUGUACUCUAAUACUCACUCAUGUGAAUACAAUGCAGUCAAUAUCAUAGAAACAUCAUUUGAGGUUUAAAAGCUGAUCUAUUGUUUUGAAUUCUUUAUAUUCCAACCGACCAUUUCCAGGUCAUAAAUCGUAGGUGUUAGCCUUCUGUAUUAUUGAAAAUGGUCAUUAAUGGCUAUUUUUGACAAUAAUGGGGUUUUGUGGCCAUUGAUCAUCGACCAGAGGCUCGUACACCUCACCCCACAUAUGUUUCCUUGCCAUAGAUCACAUUCUUAGAUUUCUAGUGGAGACCAUUUGUUGAUCAAAAAUCCGUAGGUGUUAGCCUUCGGUAUUAUUGAAAUAGUCGUCCA
rnacentral:lncRNA from 1 species